AACUGCUCAUGCUCAGAUGCAUCAGCUGUAAUACUAGGGCUGUGAAUAGGCAGUUCUUUUUCCAUUACUGAAGGAGAGGCAAAGUCUACAGAGUAGGAAGACGAAUCCCUCACUAAGAGGAUUGGAGAACAAAAGCUGGGAAGUGGGUUUAGCAGCCUUCACUUAAUUCUGAUCCAACAGGGAAGAGAGAAGAGCUGGGUGUGAAACAAAGAUAUAGUAUAUUUCAUUCUGAAGGAUCCCAAAGCACUUCACAUAGUAAGUCCUUACACCAGCUCUGAACUGAAGACAUCACUGGGAUGGAUGGUGUUAGCCAACUAAUACAGAGCAAUAUGAUAUAACACGUGCCCUCUACUGUGCAUCUCAGCAACUCCUUCUGAUACCAAGAACUAGAGAGAAACAUGUCUACGAAAACAAAGGAAGCCACCGCAGGUCAGAAGCAAGCAGCAAAUUUGAAAAUGCUGUGGAAAUAAAUAAAUACACAAAUUUGUGCACCUG